UGGACAGGGGCCAGGCACUAGGCUCCCUCUGUGGGUGGCCCAGGGAGGGCCCUGCAUGUGGGGAACAGAAGCCCUGCCGUGGGAGUGGAGAGCAGGGUCUGGGGUGCGGCUUGCUCAGAGGGGGCGCAUGCAGCUUAGGGGGCCAAAGCUUGGGGCUGCUGCACGGAGGACCGUCCAGCAUCCUGGCACACGGCCUCAGUUAACAACCCGUGUGGCAGAAGGGUUCCCCGUGACGCUGCCCCACAGGUUGGGCACUCAGGGGAACCCAGGCCUCCACGGGCAUUUCUGUUCACCUGCUGCCCAGGACGCAUGUGUGCAGCAUCAUCACCAAGGCCCUGUGCCUUGCUCCUGGAUGCUGUCCUCAAUGCAGACAGGAAGGCCAGACCCCCAAAAGCACCCACAGGUGCCGCCCAGCCCCGCAGAGCGCAGCAGCCACAGAGGGACAGACACCACCUAUAAGGGCCCUGGGAAGGGGCAGCGGCUCCCAGGUCAGCUCAUGGUCAGGGGCUGCAAGCUGGCUGCCCAGUGUUCCGAUCACCCCCGCUGUGGGAAGGGGAGAUGCCAGUGGCAGGAGUGAGGCACGCCUGCAAACCAGAUGAAGCCCUAACGCCCCACACUGGGGGGGGCACUUGGCCACUGUGGGACCCAGCCCUCUGGCCCCACCCUCUCUGCUCAUUCCGGGGUCCUCCCUACAGGAGACGGACACUUGGCAUAUCUGCAGACCCUGAGCGAGCAGCUGCCAUGCACCAGGUCCCUGUGACCUUGUGCCACUAUCAGGGGGCUCCUGGCAGUGGUAGGGAGAAGCCACCCGCUCACCUUCCCCAGGAUGGGCUGGGGCAGCUCCCGGCCAGGCUGGGAGGGGACCAGAGGGACAGUGAUCGGUGCACCAGGGCCUCCCUGGGCUGAAAAUCCUGCCCCUCACCGGCUGUGUCACCCUGAGCCUCAGCUUCCCCAUCUGGAAAGUGGGGACACCCCACACUGAGUAGGCAAUAAAGGGACAUCAGCUGGGCCUGACACAACCCCCUACCACAAGACCCUGCCCCCCUGCCCUCUACACUUCAGUCCAGCCCUGGGUGAGGGGGGCAGAGGCCAGACGUCUCUGAGCUUGAGGCCUGAACCCUGCAAGUGGCUGUGUGUGGAGUGACCUGGCCUGGGGCCCCGGGCUCUCCCUCCCGCCACCGUGUGCCCACAGCGCAGCACCGUGUGAGGGACAAAUCCCUGCAGGGCCGUGAGCCACCCCGGGCACCUCGCCCCACCCGCCGGAGCCCCUGUAAACUCAGCCCCUCUGAGCACUUAGGAAUGACAGACCCCGAAGACCCCGGAAGGCAGAGCCCAAAGUUCAACAAGAGGGAGGGGUGAUCUGAAGGAGUGGAAGCCGUCCCACCCCGUGGGCCCCACCCACCCACGGGCCACACCUAGGAGUGCCCCAUCCCCCUCUGUGCACAGAAGGCAGGGGGGCCUGCACAACCUGAGGGCAGAGCUGGACAGGACGGGGUCUGGAGGGGGUGGAAUCCGACCCUGAGAGAACUUUCCAGCAUUCAGCAGUCAUGACAGCCUGCCCUGCCCUCAGUGAGCCCUCCCCCCAUCCCAGCUGGACCAAGUCAGGUGACCCGCUUGAGGUCACCUAUCAGGAAAGUGGGGCUUGACAGGGGAUUCUGAGGACCCCAGGGCACCACACGGGCUUCCCUGGGACCUGGGUGUCCACCGGAGGCUGCGUUUCCUGCCUGGGGGGUGGGCAGUUUGCAGAAGCGGGGAGCUCACUGCAUGGGGAACAGCCAAGGGCUCAGGUGCUGGGGCCACCCUCUGCCUCUCCCGAGUCACUCCCCAAAUUGUCCCGGUGGUCGGGGUCGUCAGCUGGGUCUGAGGAUUAUUAUUAGAACUUUGGCAGGGUCUUUGGUGGUGGGGGGGAGCAGGGAUGGGGCAGGUGGAGUGGCCGCCCCCAUGGCCUCAUUGGGGAGCAGUCCGUGCCUGCGUUCCUGGUCCCCUGGCCUGCGCUCAGCCAGCAGCAGGCCCCGGGCGCCUCAGCCCCACUCCAUCAGAGCUGGGUGUUGGAGGGCCGCUGUGCAGAGCGGUCAGCCCCUGGGAGCCACUUUGCAGGCUUCCUCCAUCUGAGCCCCCUUGGGCAGAGGCAGGUGGCCAGGGUGGCCCCACCACCAGGAGGAGGGUGGGUGGCAUCUCAAAUCUCUGGGGCCACCCUACCCCCCGCUCGGUCCCUCAGGCUGGGUUCCUGCCAAGUGGCUGCGGGCGUCUGCGUGCACCCCUCCACUGACGCGGGACUCACUCCCCCCGAGCUGCCCCUUUCACCUGGGGCAGCACCCACGGCCAGAGUCACCCUGCACGCUUGCAGCCUGUCUUCACCCAGACAAAGGGGCUGGGCUAAGGAAGCUGCAGACAGGAACCUGGGCCUCAGAGGCCGGGGCCCCUCGCCCCAGAUCCCUCCCUGCGCUCCCCCUUGCCCCCAGCCCACUCUGUGGACAGAACUGUGGGCAGGGAGCCAGGACACUGGGAACAGAGAGGCGACACUGCAGGGAGAAGCAGGGCCUGAGGGCAGCCGAGAGCACAGGGUGAACCCUGGGCCCAAACCCCUCCAGGGGCCGCAGCCAGGGCAGGGGAGGGGCGGUGGCCGGCGGAGGCCGGGGACUGGGCUGAGGGUUCUGCAGGAAAACCCCACAGGGGUCUCCCUGAGGGCAGUGGCCAGAGCUCACCCAGCACCCUCAGUGCCCAGCGGGUGGGGCUGGCUGGAGAGGGCUCCCAUUCCCUGUAAUUAAGGUUUCUGCCUCAAUCAGACGCGUUCAGACGGGAAGGGACUGCCGAGCCCAGCUCCCUCGUGUGAAACACAAGGUGUGAAAGCCAGCGUGUUUGUGGAAUAAACACGCCCGUUCAGAAUGACAACCUGAGCUGCCAUGAGCAGGUAGCACGUGCCCAGCGCCCCCCACCCCGUCCUGCACCGCGCCCCGCUCAGGGACACGCUGGGGCGUGGCAAACGCUACACAGGCUGGCCAACCAGCCGCCUCUGCCUCGGACCGCUGACCCUCCGCCGCCCUGGGCCGCCAGCGCUGAGGCGCAGCAGCAGGUGUUGGACACGCUCUGCUCUGUGACCAGACCCGCCCUGCGCUCCCACCUCUGUGGGCGCUCUCCUGCGGGGACCACCUAGGGCAGAGGGCCCUGUUUCACCAGUUAGAUGUAAAGGAAACAACUGUCUCCACUGCAGAAGCAGCACAGAGCGAGACAGACGACAAACCCCCUCCAGACCCGGCAGGCGACUGUCCCCCGCAUUGGGACCUUUGGGGCGCUGCCCUCUGCCCUGGCCUGCUGGCCUGAGGCUGUACCCGGUGCAGCCGUGUCAUUUCCAAAAGAGGCACAGCAUUCCAGAAGACCGCACGCUUAUGAACAGCAUCUCACACUUAUUGGGCGCCUGCUGUGUACGAGGGUCUCUCACGGACGCCUUCCCCGCAGGGAGGGGCCACUUUCCAGUUUACAAUGAGCAAAGGGGGUCUCAGAGACCCCCCUCCCCUGGCCUCACAGAUCAAAUCUCCCCCCCAAGCCCGGCUUUCCCCUGGACCCCGCCUUCUCUGCCACCACCCCAGGCUGCUCAGCCAGGCACAUGCGGGGGGCUGACAGCAGGUUGUGUCAGGGGAUGUCCCACACACAGCCACAGCCACCCUCACCCUGCAGCCGGCACUGUCUCCCGGGCAGGAAAACAGCCCCCACCGAUGGCGCCCCCUCCCCUCCUCCCUCCCCUCUUCUUUCCUUUCGUGAUUUGUUUUCAAGUUCAAGACACCCUUCCAGGGUCCCCCCCCUCCCCCACCGCCGCACCUUCUCUGUCGCCCCCAGGGAAGAUAAGUGGGCCUGGGGCCUCGUGCCAGACCCUCAGGGCUAGAGUCCCAAGUCCUCAGCCCCUCGUCGCCUCCUGGACCUCCCACAGCCCCCUGGAAAACCUGCCAGGUGCUGGCUCUAGGACACUGCCCCCUGCCCUGUCUCCCAAGUCGUGACAGUAAUUGCCCGCUGUGUGACAAGCCCUCUUUAGAAGCUUCUCCAGGACCAGGCCUGGUCCUGCUGGGAUGGCAGGUAAGCAGGGCAGGGGUGGGGUCCAGCGCCAGGGGCCAGGGCCCGAGCCACACCCACUCACAGCCAGGCCACGGGCCUCAGGGCAUGGAUGUGGAAGCGGGCGGGGGUGAUGCGGUUAGGCUGGGCAGAGGGCUGCAGAGCCAGACCUGGGUGUCCCUUGAAGGGGCAUGAGCAGAAGGCAGAUCCCCACGGCCACCCCUGGGGGAUGGAGGAUUCCUCGAGGCCUCAGGGCCCUUCUUCACGGGGCUCCUGUUUUAGGGGUCUUUACCCUGCAGGUGACAUGGGGGGCUGACACAGGAUCCUGUGCACCCCAAAGGGAGUAGACAUCAGCCCCAAGACGAUUCCGCUGGGUGACCCCCGCAGAGCGGGCGCUCUCUGCCCAGGCGUCACGACACCUGCCAAGUCCUGUGACCCUACAAUGGACGAAGCUCUAAACAGGCGAAAGAAGCUAAAAAAAGAGAGCAGAGCUAUUAACGUGGCUAUUAACACGUCGAGGAACUACAGUAAUUAAAACCCCAGGGCGCCGGCCAGGCGAGACCCACAGGCCAGGAGCCCAAUGAACAGCCCAGAUCCAGGCCCAGCCCCAGAGAAGAGCCAGUGCGGAACACAGGGGACACGGUGACGGUGACAUGGUGACCGAACGGCAGCCCGACGUCUGUCAGUCCGGUGACAGCGUCUUACAGGAAAAUAGGUAGGGAUCAGCUUUCUUAACGGAGAAGGAUUUUGAAGCUAAAAGCAAUGGAAGGAAUCACAAAAUAUCAAUGGAUUUGGCCACAUAAAAAUAUAUGUUCAAUAAAAAGCCCCAAAUUAAAGGGAAACAACGAAUCAGGAAAACUGACUGACAGAGAACGUGUCAAGGGACUGGCGUCAUCACCACAGAGGGCAGUCAUCAGCAAAAACUAAGAAAACACCCGAAGCUCCCACAUGAGCAGGCAAACUUUAGUUUUCAGUUUUUCAGUUGGAGUUUUUUUAGUUUAAUAGCCUUUAAACACGCACCGUUUAGUCUAUUUCAAUUACACUGCGAUAAAGCUGAAAACAAGAGGCAGAAAGUAGAACUGUACAUAAAUCCUGAUCCCAACUAUGUCAGAAGAUCUGGAAGAAAACAUCUGAAAAUGUGAGCAGCGGUGUCUUGGGUGGUAGAAUUCUGGGUGGUUCCUUCUUCCUAGUCGUCUGCACUUUUCAUAUUUUCUACAAUAAGCACGCGCUCCGUCUAGAAUCAGACGUGUAUAAUUUUAUUUAAUUAUCACCCACGCUUAAUCUCAUCACGCCCAUCUUUAAAGACCCCUACGGGACCACCACACACAGAAUAAAGCCAGACUCCAUCCUGGCA